rnacentral:pre_miRNA from 1 species
CAUAUACUCCCUCCGUCCGGAAAUAUUUGUCAUCAAAAUGGAUAAAAAGAGAUGUAUCUAGACGUAUUUUAAUUCUAAAUACAUCUUUAUUUAUUUAUUUUAAUGACAAGUAUUUUGGACGGAGGGAGUACUGU